rnacentral:rRNA from 1 species
CUGAUCCAUCAAUUUGUUUGUGGUAUCUUUGACUACAAAGUUUAUCACGGAUAACGAAAGAUCAGGGUUUGAUUUCGGAGAAAAAGCAUGAGAGUCCGCUUUUACUUCUAAGGGAGGCAGCAGGCGCGUAAAUUAUUCAAUAUCGAUUUGAUGAAAUAGUGACUAGAAAUAUCAAAGUAGGAAAUUAUAUUUGCUGUGUUUGAAAUGUGUACAAUUUAAAAACCUUAACGAGGAACUAUUGGAGGGCAAGUCUGGUGCCAGCAUCCGCGGUAAUUCCAGCUCCAAGAGUGUAUUUGAAAGUUGUUGUGGUUAAAAAGCUCGUAGUUGAAAUUAGAUUUUUUAUCCUGAGUCCUAUCGUAAGAUAGUUCUCAUUCAGGGAAGGAUAUCAGAAGUUUAAAGUAGGAAAUGGUGGUAAAACACCACGAAUUAGAUGGAAAGGAAAUAGACUGUUUAUCCGGAAGCUUAGGCCGAUGGAAAUUUAAAUGAGAUUCGCUUUGAAUAAAUUAGAGUGUUCAAAACAAGCAUUUAGCUUGAAUAUAUUAGCAUGGUACGACGAAAAUGAUACGAGUUACAUUGAUAAUCUCUAUGAGAGUGAGAUUUUAGGACUGAUAAAAAGGGACGAGUGAUCAAACCCUUAUAGAGUGCAACUUUUAUGAUGAUUAAAAGGGACAGUUGGAGUAAUUAUUAUUGUGUGGGAAGAGGUGAAAUUCUAUGAUCCAUGCAAGAAUGACUAAUGCGAAGGCAUUUUACUAGAAUGUUUUCAUUAAUCAAGAACUAAGGAUAUGGGAGCCAAGAUGAUUAGAUACCGUUGUAGUCAUAUCUGUAAACUAUGUUGAUUUAGGAUAAGAAGUUGUUAUACGUAUGACUCUUCUUGCACUGUACGAGAAAUCAAAAUAUCCAAACUCCAGGGGGAUUAUGGACUCAAGUCUGAAACUUAAAAGAAUUGACGGAAGGGCACCACCAGGUGUGGAGCUUGUGGCUUAAUUUGACCCAACACGGGGAAACUUACUAGGUCAGGAAAUU